GACGAACGCUGGCGGCGUGCUUAACACAUGCAAGUCGAACGGACAGACAGAGAGCUUGCUCUCUUGAAGUUAGUGGCGAACGGGUGAGUAACGCGUAAUCAACCUGCCCUUCAGAGGAGGAUAUCAACGGGAAACCGUUGCUAAUACCGCGUACGAUUCAUGAACGGCAUCGUUUAUGAAUGAAAGGUGGCCUCUAUGUAUAAGCUAUCGCUGAAGGAGGGGAUUGCGUCUGAUUAGCUAGUUGGAGGGGUAACGGCCCGCCAAGGCAAUGAUCAGUAGCCGGUCUGAGAGGAUGAACGGCCACAUUGGGACUGAGACACGGCCCAAACUCCUACGGGAGGCAGCAGUGGGGAAUCUUCCGCAAUGGACGAAAGUCUGACGGAGCAACGCCGCGUGAGUGAUGAAGGUCUUCGGAUUGUAAAGCUCUGUUAAUCGGGACGAAAGAGUUCUGCGUGAAUAAUGCAGAAAAGUGACGGUACCGGAAUAGAAAGCCACGGCUAACUACGUGCCAGCCGCCGCGGUAA
rnacentral:rRNA from 1 species